rnacentral:tmRNA from 1 species
GGGGGCGAUUGGCUUCGACCGGGCAGGUUGAGGUCUGGGUUGCGUGCCGAGGUUGUCAGGAGGCCUCGUAAAACACCUGGCGCACUAAUUUAGAUGCCAACUCUGGCUAUCGUCUGGCUGCCUAAGUAGGCUAGCCCGUCGGCCGACGACGCCUGCUAGUCGUCACCGGCGUCAAACAGCAGGCUGGCUGUUGCGUUCCCGUCCGGCGGCGUAACAGUGAGACUAAGCCGGGCUCGGCUCAAGGAUGACCUGUCGGCCGGUCUGCCGCGAGCUUAAACACAAAACGACCGACUACGCCCGUAGACGCCCAGGCUGAAAUGCUUCGGGACGGGGGUUCGAUUCCCCCCGCCUCCAA